rnacentral:tRNA from 1 species
GGCAAGAUGACCGAGUGGUUAAGGUGUAUGACUCAAGUUCAUAUGUCGCAAGACGCGUGGGUUCGAAUCCCACUCUUGUCA